UACGAGGGGGGCGAGCGUUGUUCGGAAUUAUUGGGCGUAAAGGGCGCGUAGGCGGUCGGAUAAGUCUUGUGUGAAAUCUUCGGGCUCAACUCGAAGUCUGCACAGGAAACUAUCUGGCUUGAGUGUGGGAGAGGUGAGUGGAAUUCCUGGUGUAGCGGUGAAAUGCGUAGAGAUCGGAAAGAACACCAACGGCGAAAGCACUCUGCUGGGCCGACACUGACACUGAGAGACGAAAGCUAGGGGGAGCGAAUGGG
rnacentral:rRNA from 1 species